rnacentral:rRNA from 1 species
GUCUUUUAGAUUAUAAUUUAAAGUCUGGCCUGCCCUAUGAAUUUUAAAUGGCCGCAGUAUUUUGACUGUGCAAAGGUAGCAUAAUCAUUAGUUUCUUAAUUAGAAACUGGAAUGAAAGGUUGGACGAGAAAAUAUCUGUCUCUUUAUAAAUUUUUUAGAAUUUUAUUUUUAAGUUAAAAAGCUUAAAUUUAUUUAAAAGACGAGAAGACCCUAUAGAGUUUAAUAAAAUUAUUUAUGAAAAUUUAAUUUGAAUUAUUUAAAUUUUAUAGGUAUAUUUUAUUUAAUUGGGGUGAUGGAAAAAUUUAUAAAACUUUUUUUUUAUAUAAACAUUUAUUUAUGAUUUAAUGAUCCAUUAAUUUUAUGAUUAAAAGAUUAAAUUACCUUAGGGAUAACAGCGUAAUUUUUUCUUAGAGUUCUAAUCGAUGAAAAAGAUUGCGACCUCGAUGUUGGAUUAAAAUUUAUUUUUGGUGUAGAAGCUAAAAUAAUUAGGUCUGUUCGACCUUUAAAAUUUUACAUGAUCUGAGUUUAAACCGGUGUGAGCCAGGUUGGUUUCUAUCUUUAAAUUAAUAAAAUAUUUUAGUACGAAAGGACCAAGUAUUUAUAAUAAUUAU